rnacentral:rRNA from 1 species
CAGUAACGGCGAGUGAAGCGGCAAUAGCUCAAAUUUGAAAUCUGGCUCUUUCAGAGUCCGAGUUGUAAUUUGCAGAGGGCGCUUUGGCGUUGGCAGCAGCCUAAGUUCCUUGGAACAGGUCAUCAUAGAGGGUGAGAAUCCCGUAUGUGGCUGGUUGUCUUCGCCGUGUAAAGCCCCUUCGACGAGUCGAGUUGUUUGGGAAUGCAGCUCUAAAUGGGAGGUAAAUUUCUUCUAAAGCUAAAUAUUGGCCAGAGACCGAUAGCGCACAAGUAGAGUGAUCGAAAGAUGAAAAGCACUUUGGAAAGAGAGUCAAAAAGCACGUGAAAUUGUUGAAAGGGAAGCGCUUGCAGCCAGACGUGCCUGUAGUUGCUCAUCUGGGGAUCUCCCCAGUGCACUCUUCUAUAGGCAGGCCAGCAUCAGUCCGGGCGGUUGGAGAAAGACCUGUGUCACGUAUCUGUCUUCGGGCAGUGUUAUAGGGCAGGUGGAAUACAACCAGCCUGGACUGAGGUCCGCGCAUCUGCUAGGAUGCUGGCGUAAUGGCUGUAAGCGGCCCGUCUUGAAACACGGACCAAGGAGUCUAACAUCUAUGCGAGUGUUUGGGUGUCAAGCCCGAGCGCGUAAUGAAAGUGAACGGAGGUGGGAACCUUAGGGUGCACCAUCGACCGAUCCUGAUGUCUUCGGAUGGAUUUGAGUAAGAGCAUAGCUGUUGGGACCCGAAAGAUGGUGAACUAUGCCUGAAUAGGGUGAAGCCAGAGGAAACUCUGGUGGAGGCUCGCAGCGGUUCUGACGUGCAAAUCGAUCGUCAAAUUUGGGCA